GGUGAAUGUGAAAAUUGUACAUCUCUGAUGGCUGCUAAAUCUCUUUGCCUUUCUAAAUGACAAGGGUUUUCUGUUUCCUAUGAACAGAAGCAGAAUUUUUUCACAACAGAAAGUGAAGCAGCGAAGUUCUGAGAGUUGCUCCUCAUUUAAUGCUGAUAGCAGAGAAGAGUAAUCUUGAGACUCGCCAAGGAUGGAAAUGAUAUGGCCCCCACCUGCCAGCCUUAGCUUCACAAACUGGAGGACCCUUGAUAGCAUAGAAGAACCUGUGUGGAUUCACGAGAAUGACUUACUAUUGAGAUUCUAUGUCAUAUUCUUACUAGUUAAUCAUCCACAGUCAGCUAUGGGGAGAUUGCUGCUUUAAGGCUAUAUUCAUCAGCUUGGUGGUUAUGAUGUUUUGGUGAUUUAUGGAUGUUUAUGACCCACGUAUGGAUACAAAUGAGGGCUGUUACUGUCCCAUCGCCUUCCUUCCCAGCCUAAGGAGAGUGUUCAAGAAAUCCAGAAAGCCUCCCAAGGGGCAGAAACAGUCACAGUCCUGGUGGAAUGGCGGAGGCCUGAGGGCAGGACCAGGAUAACACAAAGCUGCAUGUCCACACCCAACUAGUAGUGGUGGCAGAUAGACACCUCAAGCCUGAGGGAGACCGGCAUUGUGGACUCUGAACACAGAAGCUGAUGUCUAGAGAGCAGCAUGUUGAGAAACCUUAAGCAGCGGACAGCAAAGACCCAGAGAGCAGCACAUAGAACGGAAGAGCCUUUCACCACUGCUCUCAAAAAAACUUCUUGCUUUUAGGGAAUAAGAUGACAUCUUGGGAAAGUGAGGGAGUGGGGAAGGAGCCGUGAAAGACUGAUCAUCUGCCCUAAAGAGACUGAGUUACUCUAAAGACGACAGACUUAUUUCCAGCUGACUGGCAAGACCCAGUGGUUCCCUGAGCCUGUCUCCCUGCCAGAACCUCCACUACCUAGCAGAAUGAGCUGAUAGAGGAUUAAGUGCAUUUUGUUUUAGUUUAACCAAGAAUGAAGACUUUCUCUUUCCUGUAAAAGUUCAGAAGUAUCUAAAGAAGGCCAUAAAUACCACACUCCUUCUAGAUCUAUUGUUCCACCAUUUCUAGGAUGUCACAGUUUUCCUUAUGGUCCAAGAUAGUGGUAUUUAUAUUUCAAAAAGAAGGUUGAAAAAAGGAAGGGGAAGAACAGAAAGGGCAUGCACCAGAUUUCCUUCAAAAAAGGCUCUUACAAGUUGUCACAUCUAAUCCACUUAGGUCCCACUAGCCAGACAUUAGCUUCAUGGCCACAUAUAGCAUUCAAAAAUACUGGGUAAUGUAGAAUUUUGGGGGUCACUGUAUUAGUCU